AUACGUAGGGGGCGAGCGUUGUCCGGAAUUACUGGGCGUAAAGGGUGCGUAGGCGGCUGUUUAAGUCAGAUGUGAAAUACCAGGGCUCAACCCUGGGGGUGCAUUUGAAACUGGAUAGCUUGAGUGCAGGAGAGGGAAGUGGAAUUCCUAGUGUAGCGGUGAAAUGCGUAGAGAUUAGGAGGAACACCAGUGGCGAAGGCGACUUUCUGGCCUGUAACUGACGCUGAGGCACGAAAGCGUGGGGAGCAAACAGGAUUAGAUACCCUGGUAGUCCACGCCGUAAACGCUGGAUACUAGGUGUAGGGGGUUAUCUAUACCUUCUGUGCCGGAGUUAACGCAAUAAGUAUCCCGCCUGGGGAGUACGGCCGCAAGGCUGAA
rnacentral:rRNA from 1 species